ACCAUUAGAGAGGUAAGCCUUUGGAUUACAGCUCUGAUGUUUCUGGUAGCCAUCUUUUUCUAAUAUCUCUGUGAAGGUCAACCCCUGACUCCUAAGGUGAGUUGCUUCAUAAACAAUUUACCACUUGCAAGUCUAUGAGAGAAGACAGAGGAUAGGUAACCUUUUAAGGUGGAGACCGGUGGCCUGUUUGGGGCAGUUCCCCUCUAGAGGGAGAAUUUGUCUCUGAAGUACCAGGAGACUGCAGGAGAUUUUCCUGUGCUUUUCCUACCCAGACACCAGCCCAGAACUCAGGUGACUUCAGGAGCGUUCACAUCCUGUUUGGAAACAAAGUCUGCAAAUUGUUUAAUAGGCCGAGCCUUGAUACCCGCGUCCCUCUCAGCUCUAUCACAGGUCUGCUUUGCUGUUUUCUCUUGGCUGUGACAGUCCGCCUGAUGGUCAUUAUAACAGCAGUUCACCAUUAGUACAAACAAGAGUACCAUACAUAAAUUCUGUGUGCGGUUUACCAACAUCAUCAAAAAGUUAUAUUGUUCCACUGUUCUCAUUCUUUACUUGAUCACCAUCAUAAUCAUAUCAACAUCCUAAUUUCUGGCCUAAACCAACCACAGAACCAUUGUUAGCCCCUUAUACUAUCCAUUGUCACCAAGAGUCCAUUUGCUAGAGCUUUUAGUGAUAUUUUAUCUAUUUAGAAGAGCACUGCAGCAUGGAUUCUGUGUUAAUUCAUGUACUCAUUGAUGGACUUGUUGCUUGUGUAGCCCAGUUAAUAAGAAUAGCUGAUGAGCUUUUACAAUUCAUUCUACAAGUACAAGAAGUUCCUUAUGUAGAAGAAAAUGGUAGAGCAGAAGAGACUGAAGCAGAUGCACCUCUUCCCGAGGAGCCUUCGCUACCUGAUCUCCCUGAUCUCUCAGACUUAGACUCAAUACUUACACCAAGAGAGGAUGAAGACCUAAUAUUUGAUAUAGAUCAGGCUAUGUUAGACAUGGAUAACUUAUAUGAAGAUACAGUCUCUGGUAUAAAUGAUGACUUAACAGGUGACUAAGACCCAAUUUCUGCCCCCGCCCCCAGGGAUGUGAAAACUGAUCAUUUCCCUGUUUUAAUAUAUUCUUAUUUUCUGUAUAUUAGCAAUAUGUGUUUUCUCAUAGUUCCGCAUAUUUUCAUUACUAAUAACCCAUAUAACAAGUGAGAUUUGAUUUACUUCUAGCAAAAGCUGGUCUUUUUUCAUCUUUGUUGUUAUUCAGAAAGUUCUGGCUUUUGCCAUGUAGGUCUCCCUUUACCUGUACUUACUCUCAUGCUAGAAUUUCUGAUGAUGGGAGCAAACAAUAGUAAAGAAAAGAAAUUCCUUGCCUAAUUAUGGAGUGGAGAACUGACGAACUCUAUCACAUCUUGGGACUAAUUUCACUGCUCUCCAAUGAAUGCAAAUGAAAAGGGGAAUAUCCCCCAGGGUAGCAUUACAGUAAAUGAAUACAUUCACAUUAACAAGACAGUGUUGGGAUACUUUUAUUUGAAAGGAUAUAACUCCUUACUUAUCCUUUAAGAAAGCAUGUGUCCGACACAAAAUGCUAUAGCAGACUAAGGGAGGUAAUUUUAAAAGAGUACUAUCUACCAGAUAAUAAAAGUGCAGAAAGGUUUUCAAAUGACUGUUGCCAAGGAGAAAACUGAAAAAGCUGGGACCAAGAGUUCCAGUGCAGGACUGUUCUUGCAAAUUCUGACCACAUUGUAGCUACUUUGCACUAUUAUUCCCCAAAUGGAAAAGGCACACUAUACCAAAUAAUCAAAGAGAGAAGUAAUAGAAGGGCUAAGCAAAGCCCUACAAGGACUAUUCACCAAUGGAAAGACAAACACUCACCAUAUUGGACUAAAUAUCUAUGGACUAGAUAUAGUCCUUAGGCAUCAAAGCAGGAAGAUGCUACAACCCCAUAAUAUGUGGAGCUGGCUGGACCCUUGUUUUCCUGGGUCACCUGAACAGAUUGUACUGUAAUGGUACCUCAGGAACUAGAUAAGAUAUAUUCCAGUGUUUGCUUUGAUUCUGUAAUUUUAUGUGCUUAAGGAUUGUUAAGAUAUAACCCCCGCUCCAAGGAAUGGAUUGUUGUAUUAAGUAUGUUUGCUCUAUGGAGCAGAAUUAGAGUUAAUAGUGAAAAGAAAUAUUUAGGAAAUAAGAAAAUACUUAGGAACAAGAACUAGUGGGGACGGUGUUUUCAGGAGAGAGAAGCAAAUUAAUAAAUUGUCAAUAGUUAUGCGACGGUUUAUGAUGGAAAGCCAUGAUAUGGAGUUAGUUUCUAAACAGGUUUAUGAACAAAGCCCUGUUUUUGCCUUCUGCAAAUUAGCCAACCCUAAGAUGUUGCUAUAAACAGCUGGUGGGCGAUUGACAUAAGUCAUGUAUCUGAAAGCUCAAUUAGAUGGAGAAUUAUUAACUAGUUUAGUCCACUGAUUGGAUAUCGCUGAUUGAAAUCCUGCAUCUCCUCCAGGAGAAUGGAGUGAGUGGCUGAUCCUUUAUGCAAAUUAGCCCUUUUCUGUAUCUUCUUAAGACCAGUGUUAAAGCCAAUUAUUAUAUAGCAUGGCAGAAAAGAGAGGGGCUCAUCAUUCUGAGACAAGCUUAAAGGUGUGAAAAUCAAGGAAGAUAGGCUGGUAGAUGGCAUUAGAUUAGGUAGUACAAGUUUUCAUCCCUAUUUGUUUGGGCUAAAAUAUGUGGGGAGUUGUGCCUAUAUAAAUUCUUAUGUGUGAUGAUUACUGCUAGUUAUUAUCUUAUGAUUGUUUACAAUCUGUAUUAGCUAUUGAUCUAAACCAUUUUAUUGUUUUCUUUCAAGAGAUUUUAACAAAUAAACUUUCAUUCACAAAUCAAAAAAA